AAUAGAUACCCCGGUAGUCCAUGCCGUAACGUUGGGCACUAGGUGUGGGGGACAUUCCACGGUUUUCCGCGCCGUAGCUAACGCAUUAAGUGCCCCGCCUGGGGAGUACGGCCGCAAGGCUAAAACUCAAAGGAAUUGACGGGGGCCCGCACAAGCGGCGGAGCAUGCGGAUUAAUUCGAUGCAACGCGAAGAACCUUACCAAGGCUUGACAUGUGCCAGACCGCUCCAGAGAUGGGGUUUCCCUUCGGGGCUGGUUCACAGGUGGUGCAUGGUUGUCGUCAGCUCGUGUCGUGAGAUGUUGGGUUAAGUCCCGCAACGAGCGCAACCCUCGUUCCAUGUUGCCAGCACGUAGUGGUGGGGACUCAUGGGAGACUGCCGGGGUCAACUCGGAGGAAGGUGGGGAUGACGUCAAAUCAUCAUGCCCCUUAUGUCUUGGGCUUCACGCAUGCCACAAUGGCCGGUACAAUGGGUUGCGAUACUGUGAGGUGGAGCUAAUCCCUAAAAGCCGGUCUCAGUUCGGAUUGGGGUCUGCAACUCGA
rnacentral:rRNA from 1 species